rnacentral:rRNA from 1 species
CAGGGAAUCUUGCACAAUGGGCGAAAGCCUGAUGCAGCGACGCCGCGUGGGGGAUGAAGGCCUUAGGGUCGUAAACCCCUUUCAGCAGGGACGAAAAUGACGGUACCUGCAGAAGAAGCCCCGGCCAACUACGUGCCAGCAGCCGCGGUAAGACGUAGGGGGCGAGCGUUGUCCGGAUUUAUUGGGCGUAAAGAGCUCGUAGGCGGUUGCGUAAGUCGGAUGUGAAAACUCAGGGCUCAACCCUGAGACGCCAUCCGAUACUGCGCUGACUUGAAUCCAGUAGGGGAGUGUGGAAUUCCUGGUGUAGCGGUGAAAUGCGCAGAUAUCAGGAGGAACACCCAUGGCGAAGGCAGCACUCUGGGCUGGUAUUGACGCUGAGGAGCGAAAGCAUGGGUAGCGAACAGGAUUAGAUACCCUGGUAGUCCUGAGCGGGCUGGCAAGGCGCAU